rnacentral:rRNA from 1 species
CUCAUGGUUUCACGGUAUUGCAAUGAGAACAAUUUAAAACCCUUAGCGAGAAUCAAGUGGAGGACAAGUCAGGUGCCAGCACCCGCGGUAAUUCCAGCUCCACUAGCGUAUAUUAAAGUUGUUGCAGUUAAAAAGCUCGUAGUUGAACCUCUGUCUGGGGCUAGUUUUGGCUUUGGUCAGGCUAGUUCUAGGCGUCCGCCUACAAGACUUAGAGGGCAUUCAGUUGUUCACUAGGAGGAGUAGGCAUUUUACUUUGAAAAAAUUAGAGUGUUUAAGGCAGGCAAUCGCCCGCAUAUAUUAGCAUGGAAUAAUAGAAUAGGACACUUUUCCAUUUCGUUGGUUAUUGGAAUCGUGUAAUGAUUAAUAGGGACAGUUGUGGGCAUUUGUAUUUAAUUGUCGGAGGUGAAAUUCUUGGAUUUAUUAAAGACAAACUAACGCGAAAGCAUUUGCCAAGGAUGUUUUCAUUAAUCAAGAACGAAAGUUAGGGGAUCAAAGACGAUCAGAUACCGUCCUAGUCUUAACUAUAAACUAUUCCGACUCAAUGUUUGACUGGCUUAUAUAACCAGUUGAGCGUUGUAUGAGAAAUCAAAGUCUUUAGGUUCUGGGGGGAGUAUGGUUGCAAAGCUGAAACUUAAAGGAAUUGACGGAAGAGCACAACCAGGAGUGGAUUCUGCGGCUUAAUUUGACUCAACACGGGAAAACUUACCAGGUUAAAACAAUAGUGGGAUUGACAGUUUGAGAGCGCUUUCUUGAUUGGUUGGGUGGUGGUGCAUGGCCGUUCUUAGUUGGUGGAGUGAUUUGUCUGCUUAAUUGCGUUAACGAACGAGACCUUAACCUGCUUACUAGACUGGCGAUCAUCAAUCGUUAGCUCUUCUUAGAGGGACUUUGGUUGUUUUAACUCCAAGGAAGUUUGAGGCAAUAACAGGUCUGUGAUGCCCUUAGAUAUCCUGGGCCCACGCGUCAUACAAUGACUAGUUCAGAAAGUUUUCUCCUGACCCGAAAGGGGAUGGGUAAUCUUGAUAAUACUAGUCGUGUUAGGGAUCGAUCUUUGCAAUUAUAGAUCUUGAACGAGGAAUUCCUAGUAAGUGCGGUUCAUCAGACCGUACUGAUUACGUCCCUGCUCUUUGUACACACCGCCCGUCGCUUCUACCGAGUGGGUGGUCCGGUGAGAUAAUUGAACUUCGCAGGUAACUGAGAGGAAAGAUUAUCAAACCUAUCCACCU